rnacentral:rRNA from 1 species
UAGGGAAUCUUCCGCAAAGGACGCAAGUCUGACGGAGCAACGCCGCGUGAGUGAAGAAGGAUUUCGAUUCGUAAAACUCUGUUGUUAGAGAAGAACAGCGCAUAGAGUAACUGUUAUGCGUGUGACGGUAUCUAACCAGAAAGCCACGGCUAACUACGUGCCAGCAGCCGCGGUAAUACGUAGGUGGCAAGCGUUGUCCGGAUUUAUUGGGCGUAAAGCGAGCGCAGGCGGUCAAUUAAGUCUGAUGUGAAAGCCCCCGGCUCAACCGGAGAGGGUCAUUGGAAACUGGUUGACUUGAGUGCAGAAGAGGAGAGUGGAAUUCCAUGUGUAGCGGUGAAAUGCGUAGAUAUAUGGAGGAACACCAGUGGCGAAGGCGACUCUCUGGUCUGUAACUGACGCUGAGGUUCGAAAGCGUGGGUAGCAAACAGG